GACCCGGUGGCGCAACGGAAGCGCACGAGAUUUCUGAUCUUGAGGCUGCGGGUUCGAAUCCCGUCCGGGUCG
rnacentral:tRNA from 1 species